rnacentral:lncRNA from 1 species
AAAAAACUAAAAAUAGCUCCACCUGUUGUGAAUGACGGCGGAUAAACGACGAAGAACACAAGAUCAAAACACAGCGGAGACACAAGAUUUAACGUGGAAAACCCUUCCAAUGCGAAGGGGAAAAAACCACGGGCACCAGCCAGCAAACACUCACUAUUAUCAAGAGUUGGGUUACAACGUCGUGCGGCGGCUUACAAGAUCAUAACUUCAGUGGAACCCUAAUUCGCUCCGACAGAAGUCGAUCAUUGUAAUGUGCCACUAAAUUUGGAACAUAUUCAACACCACCAACCGAAGCAAGCCAUUGCCCAAAGGUACAAACUUUUUCCACUCACCAAAUGACCCAAGGUCUUGGGAUGGGAGGAUGGCUCUUUCUCCGGCGAGUCCAACUUUGAGCGCUAUCCUUUCCUGUUCCUCAAGGCUACACGCUAGUCUCCAUCGAGCAUUGCUCCCUCCGCGGCGAGCCCCACACCACCGGCGGCAAGUGGCUGCAUCCACCAACCCAGCACUGCAGCGCUGCAAUUAGUGUCACCGUCGUUGUUAGUGGAAGGCUGCCAUGGCUCUUGUAGGUGACUGUUAUGCCUGCGUAGGGGUGUU